UACAGAGGUCUCAAGCGUUGUUCGGAUUCAUUGGGCGUAAAGGGUGCGUAGGCGGCGCGGUAAGUCGGGUGUGAAAUCUUGGAGCUUAACUCCGAAACUGCAUUCGAUACUGCCGUGCUUGAGGACUGGAGAGGAGACUGGAAUUUACGGUGUAGCGGUGAAAUGCGUAGAUAUCGGGAGGAACACCUGAGGCGAAGGCGGGCUACUGGGCCGAUACUGACGCUGAGGCGCGAAAGCCAGGGGAGCAAACGGG
rnacentral:rRNA from 1 species